GCUCCGGUAGCUCAGAGGAUAGAGCACCUGACUUCUAAUCAGGUGGUCACAGGUUCGAAUCCUGUCCGGAGUACCA
rnacentral:tRNA from 2 species